rnacentral:rRNA from 1 species
CCAAUAGCGUAUAUUAAAGUUGUUACAGUUAAAAAGCUCGUCGUUGAAUUUUGGGAUCAAUGGGUUGGUCAUGCCCUCGGUAUGUACUGAUUUCAUUGGUUCUCACCUUCUAAGGAACCAUGAUGUCAUUCGUUUGAUGUUGUGGGGAAUUAGGACUGUUACCUUGAAAAAAUUAGAGUGUUUAAAGCAGGCUAACGUUUGAAUACAUUAGCAUGGAAUAAUGAAAUAGGACAUCCGAUUCUAUUUUGUUGGUUUUUAGGAUCGAUGUAAUGAUUAAUAGGGAUAGUUGGAGGCAUUAGUAUUCAAUUGUCAGAGGUGAAAUUCUUGGAUUUAUUGAAGACUAACUACUGCGAAAGCAUUUGCCAAGGAUGUUUUCAUUAAUCAAGAACGAAAGUUAGAGGAUCGAAGACGAUCAGAUACCGUCGUAGUCUUAACCAUAAACUAUGCCGACUAGGGAUCGGAUGAUGCUUAUUUUUUAAUGACUCAUUCGACACCUUACG